rfam:Chaetura pelagica isolate M959 contig38759, whole genome shotgun sequence.
UCAAUGGUUUCUUUUGAAACCAUUCCAUUUUUCAUGCACUAAUCAA